CUACAUGAAGCUGGAAUCGCUAGUAAUCGCAGAUCAGAAUGCUGCGGUGAAUACGUUCCCGGGUCUUGUACACACCGCCCGUCACACCAUGGAAGUUGGGGGCGCCCGAAGUUGCCUAAGAAAUAAGGUACCUAAGGCGAAACCAAUGACUGGGGUGAAGUCGUAACAAGGUAUC
rnacentral:rRNA from 1 species